GGAAUAUUGGUCAAUGGACGCAAGUCUGAACCAGCCAUGCCGCGUGAAGGAUUAAGGUCCUCUGGAUUGUAAACUUCUUUUAUAUGGGACGAAAAAAGGUCUUUCUAGACCCCUUGACGGUACCAUAUGAAUAAGCACCGGCUAACUCCGUGCCAGCAGCCGCGGUAAUACGGAGGGUGCAAGCGUUAUCCGGAUUCACUGGGUUUAAAGGGUGCGUAGGCGGGUAGGUAAGUCAGUGGUGAAAUCCUGGAGCUCAACUCCAGAACUGCCAUUGAUACUAUCUAUCUUGAAUAUUGUGGAGGUAAGCGGAAUAUGUCAUGUAGCGGUGAAAUGCUUAGAUAUGACAUAGAACACCCAUUGCGAAGGCAGCUUACUACGCAUAUAUUGACGCUGAGGCACGAAAGCGUGGGGAUCAAACAGGAUUAGAUACCCUGGUAGUCCACGCCCUAAACUAUGGAUACUCGACAUAUGCGAUACACUGUAUGUGUCUGAGCGAAAGCAUUAAGUAUCCCACCUGGGAAGUACGUUCGCAAGAAUGAAACUCAAAGGAAUUGACGG
rnacentral:rRNA from 1 species